AAACAACAGGGAUGAAAUGGUUACCAAGGCAAAGGAAGGCAGAAGAACAGGGAUCAAACAGUUAAUAGUUUUCUCACAGAGGAAGGGGUUUAUAGCAACACCGGUAGAUUACGGUGCUGAAAAGCUUGCAAAGGGAAUGGAGAAAGCCAUUUUAAUAUUUCAAUCCUAGCUGAAUGUUUUUCAGAGAAAAAGUUCAUUUUCACUUUUUUACUACCAUAAAUCUUCCUGCAGUCACUACCUUUGGAUUCCCAUUAGAACUGCAUUGAGCUGCUGUGCUGUUGAACAGGAUGAGUUUCUGAUCGUCUGGCUCAGGGGUCUGCAGCUUUUAUAAUGCACAGAGCCAUUUUUACCUCUGUCCGACUAAAUACAACAAGUUUACAGCCACUAGUGUUACCUGACCGUUUAAAAAAAGAAUUAUGUAUUUUUUUAGGGAUGCCUGAAGAACUUUGUCAUAGUUUUUUAAGAACCACCAUUUUAUUCCUAUUUAAAAGCUACGUUCACACUGCAGCCUGAAGUGAUCCAAUGCAGAUUUUUUGUCAAAUCGGAUUUUCUUUGCCGUGGUCAUUUACACUUCGAAAUAUAUACAACCCGUAUGUGAGCUCAAAUGUGUUUGCAGUAUAUGAGCGCGAUAGUGUCACACAUAGAGAGGGCUCAGUCUUUUGCCAACCACCGUAAAAAAGAAGAAGUGCUCAGUGUUUGCGGAAGUAAACAUGGAAGCUAACGGUGGAGCAUAGCUUACGAUUUUUAAGUUGUUGUCAAACCGGAGCCGAUAAAACACCGGCACAUUAACAACUUAACCCUCAUUAUAGUCGGUCAUGGUUGCUGUUUUUAUUCCCGCUUGCGUGUAUCAGAAUGCAGACUAGGGACAUUUGUUGAGUGUCAAUGACGUUCAGGUCAGAUGAGUGCGACCUGGACAUUACAUUUGAAAAGAUCACAUUUGGUCACAUUUGAAAAGAUAGGAUACGUAUCGUAUAUCCAAAUGGCCUGGGUUGCAUUCGAAAAAAAUCUGACCUGUGCUGUUCAGACUGUCAUGAAAAGAUCAGAUACAGGUCAUAUUACGACAAAAAAAUGGAAUUGGGUCACUUCAGGCUGCAGUCUUAGAAAAAUCUGUUGUUUGCAAAAAGAAAUUGGAUACAUUCUCUUCUAAAAACAAAAGCACGUAGUCUCCAACCUAAUGAGAAGGAAAACAUCUGAAAAAUAUUUAUGGUGUCAUUCGUUAAAUUAAAUGUCAUUAUUCCAUAAAAAAUAAACAACUAAAACUUCCAUUUGUUAUAUUUACAUUUAAAAUAGCAGUUAACCAACGAACACCUGUGUUAGUUUUAGCCAGAUUUAUUAAGAGUCAUUGUCGAAGGUCUAAAGGGACAGUUCCACUACCAUAGAGCACCAAGUCUUACAUAUAGCUGUAUGCUGGGGGUGGGAAUUUAUUUGAUCACUUAUAGGGUCAAAUAUUUUUUUAUGAAAAAAAUUAUCAAAGCAAUUUUGAUUUAUCAUGACAAUGAUGAACUCCUGUUAAAUGAUGCAAGUUCAGGUCCCUGGUGCAGCCACUACUGUGCUUUCUGAAUGUCUUAGUGCUAACCAACCCAGUGAGAAAACAGGGUUGGUGCUAUCAUACUCCAGACCACACAGAGAAACAUUUUCACCGCGAGAGUCAAAAACAACAAGCCAAAUCCUCUUUACCAACUGGAGUGAGUGCGGGGAGCAGCAUGCUGUGUGUGUGUGUGUGCUGAUAUCUUAAGGGCAGGAAGGCAGUGAGCGUGCAGGUCGCACUGCACUGAGUGGGUGGCUUAUAUUGUGACUCAAGCUCCCGGCUGGACAGUGUCAGGUCUUUGUGACCCUUGCAGGGCACAGAAACAGAUGAGAGUCAGGCUGUGACAUGUCUCCGCCAACACACUCUGCCUCAGUGGACACUGGACAGAGUGUGCAUCAAGGCAGGAGCAUGCGAAAGGAGAAAAAGUAGCCUGAAGGUCUUUGCUAUUAUCAGAAAUAUUCAGACGUUACAUUUAACCGAUUUGUUUUUUCCAGGUCAAAUUCCUAAAUGAUCUGCUGUUGCAUUAAAAACAAUAUGCAAGAUACACACAAGCAAAGAAAUGAGAAAAACUCAAGUUAUAUGAACGCUAAAAUAUAACAGCUGCGACUGACUGUUUUUGAAACCUUGUGUGAUGAAAAUCUAUGUAUCUCGUAUAUUUUGUCUUAAGCUUUCUUCAUAGAAAAACAACCUGAAAAAGUUUUCAUUUUAAUAAACAAUCUUCUAAGUGCAGAGAAACUGUUCCAGAAGUCAAAGUGAGGCAUGGAGUAUUUAUGUCAAGAAGCCCCCAAACAUCAGGAUCCAACUGAAUGAGUCCAGAUCACCACUUGUUUUCCCCACGGUCUUCUUCAUCGUCCUCCACAUUCAUCCCCCCAUCCCUCCAUUCUCCAGGUCCACCUCUCUGAUCAUAGCUGAUGGUAGGCUUGGUGGAAUCCUGAAUGGAACACUAGGCAGUGGGGCUGGAUUCACUUCAUUUUGCCUUUUUGCAGCUGCCUAUUGUUUUGGUGGAAGCUGUGAAUGUGUGUGUGCAUGUACCAUGUAUUUCAUGCCUCGUGGGAACACGUUUCCUGACACAUAUUACGAUGUUGGGACUGAAGCCUGGUCCCCACAAGGGGAAAUGCUGUUUUUGGGUUAGGGGUUAGGUUUAGGACUAAGAUGCAAAUUGAAUUUUGGUUAGGAUUAGGUAUAUAAUUGUAAGGGUUAAGAUGUAGAAAUGAAUGGAAGUCAAUGGAAAGUCCCCACAAAUAUAGUGUGAUAAGCAUGUGUGUAUGUGUGUGUGCGUGUCAUCCCCCUAGCAAUGGGAGAGGAGGAGACAACUGUAAGCUUGAGCCCAUCUUUUCUCGCCCCCUCCCUCCUUCCUUCUCGUCCUCAUGCUCCUUUCCAUUCCUCUCCACAGCCAUCAGGACCGUCCUCCUUCUCUUCCCGCCUCUCUGCUUGGUUAUCCAAUGCACCGUCGUCCCCGGUGCCUAACUGCUGGAGACCUAGAGGAAGGCUGCAGUCUCUGGUGAUUCUUUCCUGCACAUCUACUGAGACAAGAGACUCAGGCUGCGCUCGCUUCUCUGCAGACGGCUGGAUCUUGGAUUUUCCGCUCUCCUCUGGAAUAUUCCUCAGCAGACUCAAUCCGUGAACCUGCCUGUCCUCCCCUGUGCUGGCUGCCAGCGACACGCCACCAGCUCACCCGACAGACAUGAUGCAAAGCUCUGGCACGGGGGCUUCACAUUCCAAUGACACCCCCAGAAAUGAAGGCAGCAGCAGCAUCAAGCUGAAUAUGUGCAGGUUUAUGGAGACCCUGUGGAAGAAGGCAGCAGGUUUCUGUAGCAGAGUUUAGGCAGAGCGAGGGAGCCGAACUCAGAAGACUGAGCAGACAAAGAAAGAUGAGCAGAGUGUGUGAGGGGCUGAGAUGGAGUAGGUGAGACCCCUGCUGCCAGAGUCUCUGGAACUCCACAGAGACUAGUGAGGGUGAAGAAGCAGAGAGGAAGGUGGGGGGUGAAGGAGUUUUGCAGCUGGUGCUGAGGAACAUGGGAAUUUGUCGUGGAUCUGUUUCUGCCUCCUCUCCCCCGUCACGGAGGCGGUGACAACACACACCCAGUCUCUCCACGUUUACCCCUCUGUCGCUGCCUGGAGCAGCUUCACACUCACAUUUCUUCUCUGAGGUCCCAAACAGCAUGCCGGAUGAUGCUUUGUACAUGAAACGCCUUAAGGUCAGGUGAGCUACAGGACCAUGGGCACCACCGUCAUCACGCUGGAUGAUGUGCAGGCGCUGGAGGCCAAGGAGGAGCAGGAGGAGUCCAUCUUGGCCAUGCUGGGCAUCGUUGGCACUUUCCUCAACCUCUUUGUAAUAGUUUUUGUUUACAUUUAUACCACGGUGUGAGGAGGGAAUCCCUGACUGGAUAACAGUGAUCAAUGGUAAGACCUUAGGAAAAACUGCGGCCUGACAUGAACACCUAUCCGAGAUCAAGAUGGAGGAAACGACAGGAAGUGGCUGAAGAUUACAAAGGGGAAGCCAUAUUGCCACACCACAGGUUUAAUCUGGAAAGAUAACGAAGGGCUUAAAGCGAAUGCGAGACGAGUCACGUGAAGAAAGGGAGUCCCCCGAAACAAACGCCUUCUGGCUCCCGGCAUCUGGGACUGUUGGACCAAUGAGGAUGACUCUGGUGCCAUUAUUCCACUGAACUCAGUUUAAUUCUACAGUCGUCCUCCUCUACAUCGCAGAGUGAAACCUGGAGGAGUGAUUGGUCAGGCCCACUCUACCAGCACCGCUCCUCACUUCCUGAACCCCCUGCACGCACACACACACACACACACACACGAACCCCCCCACACAUACACAACACAUAUGGCAUUCAAGAAAAGUCCUGCUACAGCUCUACAUCCUGAAGAUGAAUUUCUACAAUAUAAUAAAAUAACCUACUGUUCUUGGGUUAAAAAAACAUUUCCAAGAUUUAAAAGUUCACAUAUGGCGCUAUUUUUGUAAAAGGACAUCUUUACAGAGGGUAAGAAUUUAGGAGAAAGACAAGAUUGUGAUAAAAAAAAGUAACUUAUGCAUUAAAAUACAAGCAAAAGCAAACUUAUGCUGUAUUUUUGUUCAUAUUCAGAAAAGAUGAAGGAUGUGUCCAGAAACUCUUACAGAAAAGAGGGUUUUUUCUUCCUUCUACUUUUUAAGAGUCAGUUUCUGUAACUUUUUCUCCAUUUUACCAAUGCUGUUUUUAUGACUACCUGAAUAAAGUCUACAUGUACAGAUCAA